rnacentral:rRNA from 1 species
UACGAGAGGCCCAAGCGUUAUUCGGAAUUACUGGGCUUAAAGAGUUCGUAGGCGGCAUGAAAAGUAGGGUGUGAAAGCCCUCGGCUCAACCGAGGAAUUGCGCUCUAAACUGUCGUGCUAGAGGAAUCUAGAGGUGAGCGGAACUGAUGGUGGAGCGGUGAAAUGCGUUGAUAUCAUCAGGAACACCGGAGGCGAAGGCGGCUCACUGGGGAUUUUCUGACGCUGAGGAACGAAAGCGUGGGUAGCAAACAGG